rnacentral:rRNA from 1 species
UACGUAGGGUCCGAGCGUUUGUCCGGAAUUAUUGGGCGUAAAGGGCUCGUAGGCGGUUAGUCGCGUCGGGAGUGAAAACUCAGGGCUCAACCCUGAGCGUGCUUCCGAUACGGGCUGACUAGAGGUAUGCAGGGGAGAACGGAAUUCCUGGUGUAGCGGUGGAAUGCGCAGAUAUCAGGAGGAACACCGGUGGCGAAGGCGGUUCUCUGGGACGGUACUGACGCUGAGACGCGAAAGCGUGGGGAGCGAACAGG